GUGUAUGGCCAUGCUACCCUGAAUAAGCCCGAUCUUGUCUGAUCUCGGAAGCUAAGCAGGAUUGGGCCUGAUUAGUACUUGGAUGAGAGACCACCAAGGAAGACCAGGUGCCGUAGGCA
rnacentral:rRNA from 1 species